GGCGGGAGAAACAAAAUUUAAUUUAAGCAAUUUAUCAUAGUUAUUUUGAUCAAAGUUGCUUUUCCGUUUGGUAAGAGUAUGUAUUACUGAAGUAUGCUUCGUUUGAAUAGAUGCUGCAUAGAUGCAGAUUGCUGUGGUAUCUGUCUGAUGAUGUGCCAAGAGGUUGAUGAUUGGGAUAUUGCCAGAGAGAUUGUUAUAAGAUGGCAGCAGAUGCUGAAAGUGAAAAGUUUGUGAAAAGAGGUGGUUUUCGCUUUAAGCGAUCAGUAUCGGGUAGCAGUGGGAGACAUUCUCUGCCCAGCCUGUCCAAGACUCCCCGAGCCUUACCCUCUGUACAGCUUGCAGUGACCAACCCGGGAGACUUAGGCAAUGAGCAC